AGCUCCAAUAGCGUAUAUUAAUUCUGUUGCGGUUAAAAAGCUCGUAGUUGGAUCUCGGUUGUCCGUGUUCGGUUAGCUGAUUGGCUUUACUGAAUUUGUCGGGCAUCUGUUUUUUUGCAGUGUGAGCGUGGGUGCUCUUAACCGAGUGUCCACGUCCUCGCCUGCAGGUUUACUUUGAAAAAAUUAGAGUGCUCAAAGCAGGCCUCGUUGCGCUUGAAUAUUCGUGCAUGGAAUAAUGGAAUAGGACGUCGUUUCUAUUUUGUUGGUUUUCGGAAAUCGACGUAAUGAUUAAUAGGGACAGUCGGGGGCAUUAGUAUUCAGACGACAGAGGUGAAAUUCUUGGACCGUCUGAAGACUGCCAACUGCGAAAGCAUUUGCCAAGAAUGUUUUCAUUAAUCAA
rnacentral:rRNA from 1 species